UUUAAAAAAAAGUGUUAACACGUAAAUUGCGUGUUAACGCGUACCAAUGUGUUAACGCGUAAUUGCAUGUUAAUGCACAUUUUGCAUCAGCUAGAUGUGUACCGGACCCAACACACAACUCACUUUUCUUUUUUUUUUUUCAGAUGAAGGAAGAAAUCAAAUAUAUGUUAAUCAGAGUCCACAAUAGCAAGAUCAUCGGGCUGUCCUGUAAGGACAUUCAUAAACAAUCAUAAAGUCCUCGUGCUGCAGGAAAUAUGAGGUUUGCUGAAGUUGCAGCAGUGGUGCAGUGAGGGGUUUGCGUCGUUAAUAAUCCAUGACAGUUUGUUCACUGAACAGUAAGAAUGAUUAAUAAAUCCAUAUGAAACAGUCCCUUAAAAGUCACAUCUCGUCUUCAGUUUUAAGCUCGGGUGUGCUUUGCACUCACACUACAAGUGAGCCAAAGUGAACCGCGCUCUGGCACACCUCUUCCAACUGGGCCAGGGCUGGCCAAGUGAACCGUGCCUAAGCCUGAUUCAGAGCACUCACACUUCUCAAACAAUCUGGGAAACGGGCCUGGCCAUGGUUUGGAUGGCAUAGUGUGAGUGUGCCCAAAUUGUGGUCAGCUACACGUUUAGUCACUUAUGUGCUAAACAUCAUGUAGCCUAAGGGAGCAGCCCUGACUCUGGAGUUUAUGUGAAGGAGCCUGCCGAGUAAUUAUCCAGAACUUGGGUCCAAAGCAGAAAAAAGUGCACCAAACAGAAACUUACCACCUAAACUCCUUCAAUUCCUGUCAGACCAGCAUGACUUUCAGAAUCCUUUGAAGAUUUAAAGCCAUAGAAGUAUCAGUAAUGGAGAAGAAGACCCAGUUAUAUCGUCUGUCUCCUGCCAUCUUGCAGUUAACCUGGUUUCUUAAUGUAAAGUACUUGUAACUUGCCCACUUGUCCUCAAUUAUCUUAAAGCUAACAUUUAAAACUAAUUUGCUUUGAGAUUAUUUGCCAAGACUUCUCACUGUGAUUCACAUGUUAAUAUGUAUUAUUAUGUGUAUA